GUUGCCUCCCCGCUCCCGACUUUUAAUAGGCUGGGGAAGGAAGGUUGGGAAACUUGACAUUGUCUUAAGAAGAGUCCCGUCCCCCCCCCAGCAAAGGAUAAAAAGGGGGGAAAAAAAAAAAUAAAACAAAAAUAGGGAGGAGGAGGGGUGGAAAAACUUGCUUACGGUGGGAAACUUGAUGGAUUUGUGCGCUGCUGAGAGCAGCGCGGUGUGAGCAGCCCCUCGCCGGCUGGAUGGAUGAUGGGAAUCUCACCAUGAGGCAGAUAGCUGAUCAGCUUCCCUGGAUUUCGCUGACGCCACAGGAAAGCUUUGCCUGAAGAUGGAAACACUGGAGUCGGAACUGACCUGCCCUAUCUGUCUGGAGCUGUUUGAAGACCCGCUGCUGCUGCCUUGCGCUCACAGCCUCUGCUUCAACUGCGCGCAUCGCAUCCUGGUCUCCCACUGCGCCACCAACGAGCCGGUGGAGUCUAUCACCGCCUUCCAGUGCCCGACGUGCCGCUAUGUCAUCACCCUCAGCCAGCGCGGUCUAGACGGGCUCAAGCGCAACGUCACCCUGCAGAACAUCAUCGACAGGUUUCAGAAAGCCUCGGUCAGUGGGCCCAAUUCCCCCAGCGAGACCCGCCGGGAGCGGGCGUUCGAUAGCAACAGCAUGUCGUCCUGCGAGAAGGUCCUCUGCCAGUUCUGUGACCAGGACCCUGCCCAGGAGGCGGUGAAAACCUGCGUUACCUGCGAGGUGUCCUACUGCGAGGAGUGCCUGAAAGCCACUCACCCCAACAAGAAGCCGUUCACCGGCCACCGGCUCAUCGAGCCCAUCCCAGACUCUCACAUCAGGGGAUUAAUGUGCUUGGAGCACGAGGACGAGAAAGUUAACAUGUACUGCGUGACCGACGACCAGUUAAUCUGUGCCUUGUGUAAACUGGUCGGGCGACACCGUGACCAUCAGGUGGCAGCUUUAAGUGAGCGCUAUGACAAGCUAAAGCAAAAUUUGGAGAGUAACCUCACCAACCUUAUUAAGAGGAAUACUGAACUGGAAACUCUUUUGGCGAAACUUAUUCAGACCUGUCAGCAUGUAGAAGUAAAUGCAUCCCGCCAAGAAACCAAGUUGAUGGAAGAAUGUGAUCAGCUCAUUGAAAUAAUACAGCAAAGACGACAAAUAAUUGGAACCAAAAUCAAGGAAGGAAAGGUGGUGAGGUUGAGAAAACUGGCUCAGCAGAUUGCGAACUGCAAACAGUGCAUUGAGCGCUCAACAUCCCUCAUCUCUCAGGCUGAACAGUCGCUGAAGGAGAACGAUCAUGCUCGCUUCCUGCAAACUGCUAAAAAUAUCACUGAAAGGGUUUCCAUGGCAACUGCAUCCUCCCAGGUUCUGAUUCCUGAAAUUAAUCUCAACGAUACUUUUGAUACUUUCGCACUUGAUUUUACCAGGGAGAAGAAAUUGUUGGAAUGCCUUGAUUACCUUACAGCUCCCAACCCACCCACCAUUCGAGAAGAGCUCUGUACAGCUUCUUAUGAUACCAUUACUGUCCACUGGACAUCGGACGAUGAGUUCAGUGUGGUCUCUUACGAGCUGCAGUACACCAUCUUCACUGGACAAGCUAAUGUUGUUAGUUUAUGCAACUCAGCCGACAGCUGGAUGAUUGUUCCCAAUAUCAAACAAAACCACUACACAGUGCACGGGUUACAGAGCGGCACUAAGUACAUCUUCGUUGUUAAGGCCAUUAAUCAGGCAGGCAGCAGAAGCAGCGAGCCCGGCAAGCUCAAGACAAACAGUCAGCCAUUUAAACUGGACCCCAAAUCUGCUCAUAGAAAAUUGAAAGUGUCUCAUGAUAACUUGACAGUGGAACGUGAUGAAACAUCCUCCAAAAAGAGUCACACGCCAGAGAGAUUCACAAGCCAAGGGAGCUACGGAGUAGCUGGCAACGUAUUCAUUGACAGCGGGCGGCAUUACUGGGAAGUGGUUAUAAGCGGGAGUACGUGGUAUGCCAUUGGUAUUUCCUACAAGUCAGCACCGAAGCAUGAGUGGAUCGGGAAGAAUUCUGCCUCCUGGGUGCUUUGCCGCUGCAAUAACAUGUGGGUGGUGCGGCACAACAGCAAAGAAAUCCCCAUCGAGCCUGCGCCUCACCUCCGGCGGGUCGGGAUUUUGCUGGACUACGACAACGGUUCCCUUGCUUUUUACGAUGCUUUGAACUCCCUACACCUUUACACUUUUGACAUUACAUUUGGGCAGCCGGUGUGCCCCACGUUCACUGUGUGGAAUAAGUGUUUGACCAUUAUAACUGGCUUGCCUAUCCCUGACCACCUAGACUCCUCCGAGCAGCUCGCAUGACUGCUAAAAGCCAAAAGGUAGGACGACAAAUCUUCCCAGGGUGGCCAGGCGGCUGCCCACAGGAGCUUGCCCAGAGCUGGUGGACCGCGUGGCAUCCCGGCUGUCGCUGCCAAAUCCAGCCAGAACUGAAAAGGGGAGAAUAUCUCCUUUACUGUGUACUUUGUACGGAAGGACGAGAAGUGGCUUUAAUAAUACCUUUGAACUUUCAUUUGCAGUUGGUUUUGUUUGGUUGGUUUUGUAUUUAGUCUCUUACAGGAAGAUUUAUAAAUUAUUUAUAAAAAAAAAAAAAAGAGCGAGAAGAGAAAGCCUGGUUUGGACACCUGGAAAAUGACUUAUUUGUUUUGCACAUUAAUGGUCCUAUUAAUUAAACUUUCAUCAGCCCUUUACAUCAUUUUAUUUUACAGUGGAUAAAAGCAGGAAAUUGGAAGGAUGAAAACUGUGCAGUGGACAAGUCAGUAUACUGCAGGUUUUACUCGUGCCAAUAGUAGCGCGCUCAUUACUAGUCUUACUGAGUGCAAGAUCUCCUAAUCUCUCCUUUGCCCAUGGGAGUGUGCAGACCAAAAAGAACAAAAAUGAACAAGUGAGGGAGUGGAGCUAGCCAACACAGCAAAAGAAGAAAGUUUAAUUUACUUCUCUUCGCAGGGCAGUGCUCUCUGUGUUCAUAAAAAACAUGUGGAAUAUCUCCUAGAAAUGUGAGUGGAUAAAUCACCUGGUGAUUUAUUUUAUUGAUGGCAACAUUCCCAUCUACCAGUGCUUCGCUUUCGUCUUUGGGAAACAUUGUAGAAUCACUGAGGAUGUGAAAGACUGAUACCAUCUCUGAGAAUCAGCAACGCUGGAGGAGAGCAGCCAAUCCAAGGUCUGACUGUAGACUAAUUUGAUAAAGCACGGCAUCCUUUAAGGAUUGAUUGUAAUGGAAGAUGUCACGGUUCUGAUGGUAGACAUGUGAAUGCUUAUUGCUCAUUUUACAAGGUUCAACACAGCAAGCCCAGCCACCAACUCCAAAGUGAGACAUGUGCCACUUUACCAUUGAUUUUAAAUUAAAUACAAAUGUUCCAUUGUCAUACACUAUGUAGUCUCUAUAACAAAGCAAGGAAAUCUGUUUUACAUGUGCUGUAUGGAGAAACACUGCAGCUGGAGUUUGCUCCUAGUUAUCAUUGUCCUGGGUUGUUUGGGAAAGCACAGUUCUCUUUGUGAAUGAGGAGUAAAUAGCAAGUUUUCAGCAGCAGUAGGAAUCUGCAUGGCCCGGCCCUACAUUCAUCCUGGUGUUGGUAGAUGAACUUCAGUGAAGGCAAUAGAGGUUGUACCUACUUUAUCUCAAAGCUGAAUCAGGUGCAUUUUUUUCUCUUUUCCUUCUCCAGAAUAGAAGCCCUUUGCAAUUAAUACAAUGCUUAUGUAUAAAUGAUCAUUUUGGGAGAUGCUUGAGGCAUAUGACAACGUUAAAAGAAUGGUUUUCCUACAGUGUUUUGUUUUUACUAUGCAAGUGGUGAAAAUCUGCCUGUGUAGAAAAAGGAUAAAUUGAAUAUCAGCUUUAAGAAAAGUUUUGCUCAGUAAUUUAUAACCAUGCUUUAGGUGUCUUUUGAAAAGGAUGCCUCAAUGCACUUUGUUCACUAAUGGAUCCAAAAUAAAAUGGUCCCAGGCUCAGCUUCAGAUUUUUUAAAUACUGAUUCUCCAGGUACAAAGCUGUACUACAGUUUGCCUUAUGAUGUAGAAAACUUAUGAGCAAGAUGAGGAAUAGGUACAUGCCUACUUGGUUUUUCCUUUUUUUCUAGAAAAUAAAUGCCUAUCCACGUUCCUUUGAUUUCCCUUUACAUGCCUUUCUAACUGCUGAAUUAAAUGGAGAAAAGUCUGGCAGCACAUUGCUGGUACCGUGGCUUUCAGCUGCGGCAGCAUCCUGUGAUUCACAGGUAGGAGCCACUGAUCUUUCCAGAGUUGACAUAAAUAAGGGAAAAUGUGUACAUAUAGCGAACUGCAGUGUUUAUCACAGUGUCUUUAAUAAUCAACAAACGUAUACCCUCAAAAACGAAAAAGUAAAUAAAUCCCCAAACAUUAAAUUUUAUAAUUGAGCACAGUGUUACUGAUACAGUCUGAUGUACAUUGCCUAGAUGAUCUGGCCUGGGAUGUUUGGGAUGUAGCUGAGAUGGCAUGAAAAUUAUUAUAAUGAGACAACAGGAGAUGACUGAUGCAAAGCAGUGAUAAAAAGAUGCAGGGGGAAAGGAGUUUUAAUCUAGGAUUAUUGCCAAGUUUCUGCCUAAAAGGAAAGGGUGUAUUACCAAAGUACACGUAGCAAGGCUGUGUAUCUUCUUUUCUGCCAGAAAUACUAAAUCUAGAAGCUGAUUUCGGUAGUGGACAAACUGAAAACACUGUUCAGUGUUUGGCCAUACAAUGUUGUCAGAGAUUGAGCUGGAUGGAAGUAAUACCAUGAAUUUGGAAAGAUCCCAAAUGAUCUCACAUAUUUUCAUUGUAAAGAUAGACCAUGAGUCUAAAGACAGAUCAUGGUUUUGGCCAAUGGAAAAAGAAUGGUCUGUUAUCUACAGGCCUUGCUGUCUCGUUUUUAUUUUAACACAGAAUACUUCAUUUGGAGCUAAGCCACAUUUCUCCAGUGGACUAUUAAUUCAGCGUGAAGAAGUGUUGGACCCACACAGAAAGUACACACUGGGCCAUCUCAGUAACUGGCCAGGGCACGCCUGGCCUGAAGACCAUUGGUGGGACAGCUUUGGGAAGCCAGUGAUAAACAAAAAACGGGCACAGGUGGCUUACGGAGUGACGUACUGGUAAUUUUCUUGUAACGCCACCCGUAAUGUCUUUUCACAUACUGAUCUUUCUAGUAGUGGAAGUGCGUACUAAGGUAUAGGAAUGUAGAAUGCAGUAUUUUCCCGUGUUAUUGGGUUAGUUGCCCAUUUAGAAAUUAGCACAGUCUUCUGAACUUCAGCCUUAAUUUUUGUCUUCUCCACAUGGCAAAAAGCCCUGGUGACUCCAAGUGCUGAUGGUGGGUGUUCUAGAUUAUGCUGAGCUAUUUGUUUUUAUUGCGCUUUCUGAAGUGAAAGAAACUCUCUUUACAUUUUAACCUUUGAUUUAGCACUUGAUUUUGAUAUUAAAAAAUUAAGAGACUAAAGAGCAGUGAUGUUAACUGUGCUUCAAUGUGGAUGAGACUCUUGGUUUGGACUGGGAGGUUUAAGGCAACUGUGUACAUAAAUCUCUGUGCCAGGAUGGAUUGAUUUGUCAUUCAUGUGGGAGUUGAACAGUACAGGUGCAAGCGUUUUCUUGUGAGGUAGGCUUUUGCCUGAACUCCACUCUUGGAGUGGAAUGUUCUGUUUUCUUUAAUUGUUUUUAAUUGGUUUUCUGAUUCCAGUGCAGACCAUGUUAGUAAGACUGUAAGUAAUAUAAUCUUUCAUCAUGUUACUUGUUUUAGCAAGCCCUACAGUGUCACGUGCCUCUGGCAGGUCGCUGAACACAUCAGCUGCAACCAUAACCUUUCCAACGUCACCUCCAAUGUGUGGACUGAUGUUUAAGCCGUUGACCAAGUAUGUAACUUUCCCAGG